AGUGAACGCUGGCGGCAGGCCUAACACAUGCAAGUCGAGCGGCAGCGCGUCCGACCACCCUCGGGUGGUCGGAUGGCGGCGAGCGGCGGACGGGUGAGGAAUGCAUCGGAAUCUGCCUCGUUGUGGGGGAUAACGUAGGGAAACUUACGCUAAUACCGCAUACGACCUACGGGUGAAAGUGGGGGACCUUCGGGCCUCACGCGAUGAGAUGAGCCGAUGCCGGAUUAGCUAGUUGGCGGGGUAAAGGCCCACCAAGGCGACGAUCUGUAGCGGGUCUGAGAGGAUGAUCCGCCACACUGGGACUGAGACACGGCCCAGACUCCUACGGGAGGCAGCAGUGGGGAAUUUUGGACAAUGGGCGCAAGCCUGAUCCAGCCAUGCCGCGUGCGGGACGAAGGCC
rnacentral:rRNA from 1 species